ACUCCAGUUGAUCCUGCUGGAGGGCACCGCUGUCAGAUUGCGACUAAGACAUGCAAGUUUCAUGGUACGACUUCGUAUCAUAGCGAACGGCUGAGUAACGAGUAGUCAACCUACUCUUGGGACGGGUACAUCGUCGGGAAACUGACGGGAAUGCCCGAUAGGUUGGAAUAACUGGAAUGUUGUCCAACCCAAAUGAAUGCUGAAUUGUAGGCAUCGCGCCCAAGAAUGGGACUGCUUCUGAUUAGCUUGUUGGUGGGGUAAUGGCCCACCAAGGCUUUAAUCAGUAGGGGCUAUGGGAGUAGUAGCCCCCAGACGGGCACUGAGACAAGGGCCCGAGCCCUACGGGGUGCAGCAGUCGCGAAACCUUCGCAAUGCGCGAAAGCGUGACGAGGGUAAUCUGAGUGCUAACCGAAAGGUUAGCUUUUAGUCAGUAUGAAUUUCUGGCUGAAUAAGGGGUGGGUAAAUCCUGUGCCAGCCGCCGCGGUAACACAGGUAGCCCGAGUGGUGUCCACGAAUACUGAGUCUAAAACGUGCGUAGCCGGCUUAGCCAGUUCCGUGUGAAAUCUGCCCGCUCAACGGGCAGGCGUGCACGGAAUACUACUAGGCUUGGGAGCAGAGGAGGCAAAGGGUACUUUAGGGGGAGGAGUAAAAUCCUGUAAUCCUUAAAGGACCAUCGGUGGCGAAGGCGCUUUGCCAAUAUGCAUCCGACGGUGAGGUACGAAGCCUAGGGGAGCAAAUCGGAUUAGAUACCCGAGUAGUCCUAGGAGUAAAUGAUGCGCACUAGGCGUUGCAAUUACCUCGUGUUGUUGCAGUGCCGCAGGGAAGCCGUUAAGUGCGCUACUUGGGGAGUACGGUCGCAAGACUUAAACUUAAAGGAAUUGGCGGGGGAGCACCACAAGGGGUGGAUGCUGCGGUUCAAUUGGACUCAACGCCGGGAACCUCACCUGGAAAGACGGCAGUAUGAAGCUCAGACUGAAGAUCUUAGCUAACAAGCCGAGAAGUGUUGCAUGGCCAGCGUCAGUUCGUGCCGUGAGGUGUCAAGUUAAGUCUUGCAACGAACGAGAUCCCUGUCCACUGUUGCUAUCUUCGGAGCAAUCCGGAAAGCACUCUGUGGAGACUGCCAGCGCUAAGUUGGAGGAAGGAAGGGGCGACGCUAGGUCUGUAUGGCCUGAAUUUCCAGGGCCACACGUGGCAUACAAAGACGGAGACAAUGCGUUCCGACGCCGAAAGGCGAAGGCAAUCGCCUAAACUCCGCCCCAGUUCAGAUUGGGGGCUGAAACUCGUCCCCAUGAAGUUGGAAUCCCUAGUAAUCGCGUGUCAUCAUCGCGCGGUGAAUAUGUCCCCGCUCCUUGCACACACCGCCCGUCAAGCCAUCCAAGCGGGGUUCUAGUGAGGCUUCGGCUUCGGCCGGAUUCGAGCUAAGACUCUGUGAGGGGGGUUAAGUCGUAAAUUUGUUGCGACCCGGUUCCG
rfam:Candidatus Micrarchaeota archaeon CG1_02_55_22 cg1_0.2_scaffold_15474_c, whole genome shotgun sequence.